rnacentral:lncRNA from 1 species
UGGGCAAAGAAACAGGCCUGUCAAAGCCACUAGUGGCUUGAGGGACUUGGCCUGGCAAAAUC